CUGAAGACGCUGCUGAACCCUGUGGUCAUCGAGUGGGGACUCAGUAUCCUCUCUGUGUCAGAGGGAAGCACCAGCCAGUCCACCCCUUCUGCAAAGUCUGGUCAAGCCUUGAACCUGAAGGAAUCCCCCAGGCUGGGUUAGGUUGGUGUGGCAGACUGCAUCUCCCAAAGAUGACAGCAACAAUGUCUCAUCCCACCGGCUCUUUUUCACAAGGUGAUCUUGACCCUCCUCCCACUGAGGGCUGGGACUUAGGUCCUGUCCCCUUGAAUUCGGGUGUACCUUUGUGACUGCUUCCAUCCAAAGAAUGCAGCAGAAGUGAUGCUAUGUGACUCCUGAAGCUAGAAUAAAAUCAUAAAGUCACCACA